rnacentral:rRNA from 1 species
UGAAUUUUUUUACAUGGAAGAAGAGGAUUGGGUGCCUUCGGGGAACUCUGAGACAGGUGCUGCAUGGCUGUCGUAGAAAAAAGAAGGCCCCUGUUGGGUUAAGUCCCGCAACGAGCGCACCCCAUAUGCUUAUUUGCCAGCACGUAAUGGGGGGAACUCUAGGGAAACUGCCGGUGAUAAACCGGAGGAAGGGGGGGACAACGUCAAGUCUUCAUGGCCCUUACGACUAGGGCUACCCACGUGCUACAAUGGCGGGUACAAAGGGUUGCCACCUCGGAAGGGGAGGCAAAUCUCAAAAAGCCUUUCCAAGUCCGAAUUGGAAUCUGCAACUCCACUCCAUGAAGUCGGAAUCCCUAGAAAUCCGGGAUCAAAAUGCCCCGGGAAAUACGUUCCCGGGUCUGUAACAAACAAAA